CCCAGGGCACGUCUCCGACGAGCAUGAGGUCGCCGUCCUUGUCCUCGUAGGCGAGGGCGUGCUGGUGGUCGCCGCCGCCCUCCGCGGCGGCGAAGGACUUGGUGAAGAGGGCGUCCAGCGCCUCCCUAAGCUCCCUAUACCCCUUGUACAUCCGGAGGUCCACCUUCCUGAGGUACGGCGCCCCGUCCAUGCUCACUUUCACAUACAGGCCCCCUCCCUGCUGCUGCUGCUCGGCCUUCUUCACCGCCGCGGCCUGGAAGGUGUUCUUCCUGUACGCCCUCACCGGCGGCCACCCCACCACUUGCGCUCUGGCGAAGCCAAAAAAAAAAGGUGAAAAGUUUGGUUAGCUGAUGUACUCUGUUUUCCGGAUGCAGGGGAUGUGGGAUUGUGGUUGGGUGUUGCUCUUACUUGGCAGGUGCGGCGGCGUCGUGGUCGUCGCCGGUGGCGGCCGGGCUGGUGCCGGAGUCCUCGCUCCUGGUGUCGUCGAGCGCGCGCUUAGCGCCGACGGAGGGUGAUGCCUUCUUCGGCCUGUCGUCGCCGCUGCUGGUUCCGGGAAGGCCGAGGCGGAGCUCGGUGGCGCUGAGGUUGUCGGCGUCGAUCUCCAUGGGAGUGAAGAAGAGAAGGUGCCGGCUGGUGUUUCUUGGCAGAGGAAGAGAGAGAGAGAGAGAGAGAGAGAGAGAGAAAGGUAUGAACAGGUAGCGACUGGAGAGAGAGAGGGGGGGGAAGACGAUGAGGAUUGAGGAGAAAGUUUGCGUGGAACGAAGGUGAGACAGGAGGAUUGCGCCCGCUUUGUGCGUGGCUAUAUAGGGUGGGUGGCGAUGAGGCCUUCC
rnacentral:lncRNA from 1 species